rnacentral:rRNA from 1 species
GACGAACGCUGGCGGCGUGCCUAAUACAUGCAAGUCGUGCGGGCCUCCGGAGGUGCUUGCACCACCGGAAGGCCAGCGGCGGACGGGUGAGUAACACGUGGGCAACCUGCCUUUGAGGCCGGGAUAACACCGGGAAACCGGUGCUAAUAGCGGAUACGUCCUCUUUCGCGCCUGCGAGAGGGGAGAAAGACGGUCUUUAAGGCCGUCGCUCAAAGAGGGCGCCGCGGCGCAUUAGCUGGUUGGUGGGGUAAGGGCCUACCAAGGCUACGAUGCGUUGCCGACCUGAGAGGGUGAUCGGCCACACUGGGACUGAGACACGGCCCAGACUCCUGCGGGAGGCAGCAGUAGGGAAUCAUCCGCAAUGGGCGAAAGCCUGACGGUGCAACGCCGCGUGAGUGAGGAAGGUUUUCGGAUCGUAAAGCUCUGCUGUGAGGGAAGAACAGCUUCCGGAGGAAAUGCCGGAGGUUUGCCGGUACCUCACCAGAAAGCCCCGGCUAACUACGUGCCAGCCGCCGCCGUAACAC